rnacentral:rRNA from 1 species
GACGAACGCUGGCGGCGUGCCUAACACAUGCAAGUCGAGCGGAGUCGAUCGACGGAAGCCUUCGGGCGGAAGAUGGUUGACUUAGCGGCGGAUGGGUGAGUAACGCGUGGGCAACCUGCCUCGAAGACCGGGAUAACAGCCCGAAAGGGCUGCUAAUACCGGAUGUGGUCAAGGAUCCGCAUGGAUUUUUGAUUAAAGGGGAAACCCGUUUCGAGAUGGGCCCGCGUCCUAUCAGCUAGUUGGUGAGGUAAAAGCUCACCAAGGCGACGACGGGUAGCCGGCCUGAGAGGGUGAACGGCCACACUGGAACUGAGACACGGUCCAGACUCCUACGGGAGGCAGCAGUGGGGAAUAUUGCACAAUGGAGGAAACUCUGAUGCAGCGACGCCGCGUGAGCGAUGAAGGUUUUCGAAUCGUAAAGCUCUGUCCUAAGGGACGAUAAUGACGGUACCUUAGGAGGAAGCCCCGGCUAACCUACGUGCCAGCAGCCGCGGUAAGAGUAGUACA